UACAGAGGGUGCAAGCGUUGUUCGGAAUUAUUGGGCGUAAAGGGUGUGUAGGUGGCGCCGUAAGUCGGGUGUGAAAUCUCGGGGCUUAACUCCGAAACUGCAUUCGAUACUGCGGUGCUUGAGGACUGGAGAGGAGACUGGAAUUCAUGGUGUAGCAGUGAAAUGCGUAGAGAUCAUGAGGAAGACCAGUGGCGAAGGCGGGUCUCUGGACAGUUCCUGACACUGAGACACGAAGGCCAGGGGAGCAAACGGG
rnacentral:rRNA from 1 species